rnacentral:rRNA from 1 species
AUACGGAGGGUCCAAGCGUUAUCCGGAAUCAUUGGGUUUAAAGGGUGCGCAGGCGGUUUAUUAAGUCAGUGGUGAAAUCUCGGGGCUCAACCUCGAAACUGCCAUUGAUACUGAUAAACUUGAGUUCAGUUGGAGUAGGCGGAAUGUGUAGUGUAGCGGUGAAAUGCUUAGAUAUUACACAGAACACCGAUAGCGAAGGCAGCUUACUAAACUGAUACUGACGCUGAGGCACGAAAGCGUGGGGAGCGAACAGGAUUAGAUACCCCAGUAGUCC